rnacentral:rRNA from 1 species
AAAUUGAAGAGUUUGAUCAUGGCUCAGAUUGAACGCUGGCGGCAGGCCUAACACAUGCAAGUCGAGCGGUAGCACAGAGAGCUUGCUCUCGGGUGACGAGCGGCGGACGGGUGAGUAAUGUCUGGGAAACUGCCUGAUGGAGGGGGAUAACUACUGGAAACGGUAGCUAAUACCGCAUAACGUCGCAAGACCAAAGUGGGGGACCUUCGGGCCUCAUGCCAUCAGAUGUG